rnacentral:rRNA from 1 species
UGGGGAAUAUUGGGCAAUGGGCGCAAGCCUGACCCAGCAACGCCGCGUGAAGGAAGAAGGCUUUCGGGUUGUAAACUUCUUUUAAGAGGGAAGAGUAGAAGACGGUACCUCUUGAAUAAGCCACGGCUAACUACGUGCCAGCAGCCGCGGUAAUACGUAGGUGGCAAGCGUUGUCCGGAUUUACUGGGUGUAAAGGGCGUGUAGCCGGGUUGACAAGUCAGAUGUGAAAUCCUGCGGCUUAACCGCAGAACUGCAUUUGAAACUGUUGAUCUUGAGUACUGGAGAGGCAGACGGAAUUCCUAG